AGAGUUGAUCAUGGCUCAGAACGAACGCUGGUGGCGUGUCUAUACAUGCAAGUCGAGCGAGGCAGCAAUGCCGAGCGGCGAACGGGUGAGUAACGCGUAAGCAAUCUGCCCCAUAUCAGGAAAUACCCGUGCCAACGCGCGGUUAAUGUCCAGGAGAGUGGCCCUCUGUAUGGAGGGUUGACUAGAGAUUUAUCGGUAUGGGAUGAGCUUGCGUCCGAUUAGCUAGUUGGCGGGGCAACGGCCCACCAAGGCGACGAUCAGUAGCCGGCCUGAGAGGGUGAUCGGCCACAUUGGGACUGAGAUACGGCCCAGACUCCUAUGGGAGGCAGCAGUAGGGAAUAUUGCACAAUGGGGGAAACCCUGAUGCAGCAACGCCACGUGUGGGAAGAAGCAUUUCGGUGUGUAAACCACUGUCAUGAGGGAAUAAGGCCCGCCUUCGGGCGGGAUUGAAUGUACCUUGAGAGGAAGCACCGGCAAACUUCGUGCCAGCCGCGGC
rnacentral:rRNA from 1 species